UGGGGAAUAUUGCGCAAUGGGGGAAACCCUGACGCAGCAACGCCGCGUGAGUGACGAAGGCCUUCGGGUUGUAAAGCUCUGUCGCCCCGGACGAAACUUCUUUUGCCUAAUACGCAAGAGAAUUGACGGUACGGGGAAAGGAAGCACCGGCUAACCACGUGCCAGCAGCCGCGGUAAUACGUGGGGUGCAAGCGUUGUUCGGAAUUACUGGGCGUAAAGCGCGUGUAGGCGGCUGAUUAUGUCAGGUGUGAAAGCCCUAGGCUCAACUUAGGAAGUGCGCCUGAAACUGAUCAGCUUGAGUACGAGAGAGGAGGACGGAAUUCCCAGUGUAGAGGUGAAAUUCGUAGAUAUUGGGAGGAACACCGGCGGCGAAAGCGGUUCUCUGGAUCGAUACUGACGCUAAGACGCGAAAGCGUGGGGAGCAAACAGG
rnacentral:rRNA from 1 species